rnacentral:rRNA from 1 species
CUCGCCUUCAUAUUUGGGUUAAUGAUCCUCUUCCGUGAGAAGGGGACUGCGGAGGGAUCAUUACACAAAU